UUGUGGGCAUUAGCAUCGCGGCAGACCAACACAAUAGAUAUAGUCCCAUGACGACACAGGGAGGCUAUUUUUAGUCUGGUGUGCUGUGAUUCAACAGGCAGUGAGACAGUUUUUUUUAUGAGAGUACAAAUCACAUUGAAAUUUUUAACGUGGAGGGUUUAAACACUCUUCAGUGUUUUCGCCAACAUUUUAGUUUUGCUGCUGCUAAAAGUGCCAGAAUGUCAGUUAAUCGUUUACUCGAUGAAGAUGCACCUGUAGCUCUUCCUAAAAUGGCGGAUGUCAUAACACUUCACAUCAGGUUUGGGCAUUUUAAGACGACGCCUAAUACACGACGUGACUAUCUUGUAAACUAACUUUUUAGACCCUUUUUGUUGGUGAUGAACAUCGAAACAUACGUACCUCUCUUAUUUCUUGUGCCGUGCUUUUUGGCUACCAUUACUUCCUGCUCUAUUCUUUUUUCCAGGUAAUCCUGCUUCUUGCUCAACAUAUCCUCGGUCUCCCGGAGCUUGUGGAUGGCCUCCCCGGCAGAGGGUCC